AAAGGGCAUGAAGUAUUGUGAAUCUUUCUAGCGUCGUUUUAGCAAACUGCAUUGCCCAUUGGAUUUGUGAUCUAAAUGCAGAUACUCUAUAUUUAACUUCUACUUGAUUUAGCUGAUAGUAUGAACAAGAACGAGGGGCUUUUAAAAUCAGGUUCAAAUGGUAAUUAACUAUUGGGGAUUAAGUAGGCGUUGUUAAGGUGACAAUUUUGAUCUAUACUUCAGUAAAGGAUUUUUUUUAAUAUCCUGAUCACAGAAUUUUAAAGACUGAUUGCACCUUUUUGAUUUUCCAUAGCAAUGACAUUUGAUAAUCGAUUUCAUUCAAUUGUAUAUGACUUUAAUUUUGUCCUUUUAAUUUUUUCCACUCUGGCACUGUCAUAUUGUUCAAAUUCAACUGGUUGUUCCGGUGUCCAGUGACACCAAUAUGAGAAAAUAAUAAAAUAAUUUAGCUUUU